rnacentral:rRNA from 1 species
UACGAAGGGGGCUAGCGUUGUUCGGAAUUACUGGGCGUAAAGCGCACGUAGGCGGAUAUUUAAGUCAGGGGUGAAAUCCCAGAGCUCAACUCUGGAACUGCCUUUGAUACUGGGUAUCUUGAGUAUGGGAAGAGGUAAGUGGAAUUGCGAGUGUAGAGGGUGAAAUUCGUAGAUAUUCGCAGGAACACCAGUGGCGAAGGCGGCUUACUGGUCCA